UCACACCCACCCUGCUUGUCCUUAACUUUAUACAUGUAACUUUGUGCUGGCCUCUUUUCCCUUGUCCUUCUCUGCCAGCCAGAGAGGACACAAAGCACAGUUCUGCCACUCCUUUUUCAGAGACGUGCCCACAUGCAUUGAAUGGGGCUUCAGGCAACCUUUGCCAGCUAAUGGAAAAGCCACUUCUACAUCAUCAUGCAAAGCCUGUGGGAGAGGUUUUCAUAGAGUCACAGAAUGGUUUGGGUUGGAAGGGACCUUGCAGAUCACUUUGAUCCAAUCCCCUCUGCUACGGGCAGGGACACAUUCCACCAGACCAGAUUGCCCAAAGCCCAAUCCAACGGGGCCGUUUACCACUCAGCUUUGCUUCUCCAUCAAAGAGAUGAGACUUUUAUGUCAGUCUUCUCAUUUCUAAAGCACUCAGGAAUGCUCCUCUCAGCCAAGCUCUCAGCAAGACAAACCCCCAGCCAAAAGCUGGCAUUGCUUAGGGCUGGGUCCAGUCUCAUUUGUGCAUACCUGAACAUCAUACUGAGCUUUUUAUUUUCCUGUUAUUAGAGCAGCUCAUUUUAUGUUUGGGUCUCCCAGCCAGCUGUGGGGUAUUGUACCUGACAUCUCCAAGGCCUCCUGCACGGGCCAGGCAGGCAGUGCCAGGGCUGGAGGAGAGCCUGCCUCGUGCCAGGCUGCUCCUGAUGCAGACACUGGACUGACUGCAUCCUCUUGCUGAGAUAGGACAAACACUGUGCACACACAGGAUCUGCUGGGAGGCAAGCAGGGAGAAGGAUACAUGUGGGGAAAACUGGAAGCAGGGGAGGUCUAAAUGAAAAAGAUGCUACAUGGUAAGUUUGUUGUGGGACUGAUACUUCAGGGAGAUCUGUCCCCUUACCAUUUGUAAAUGACUUAUAGCUGCGUCAUUGUCCCCAGGCAGGAGGGGUUUUGCACAGUUGGCCUCCAUGCCUGGGUCUCCCCACUCCUCUUUGUGCCCAGGACGGAAGCAGGACUUCAUUAUCUGAUUUGUGGGAUGUUGGAGGAACCGGGACUUGUUUGGUUGUCCUGCUCCUCUCUCACAUGAACCUCUGCCUGCUUCCCACCACUACUGCCUGCAGAAGGUGUUAUCCUUGCUCACCUGGCCUGGCACAUGUCUGUCGCCCUCUUCCUUCUGAAGAACACCAGGAACAUGAGCAACAGGCCAGGCAAGCCCCACCACCAGAGGUAACCAUAUAUAUGCAGACUUUUUCCUUUAGCUUUACCAAGAAAGGAGUUAGGAAAAGCUAGGCAAAUCCCAGGCAGAUGAUCUGUGCGCUUUGACAGCAGCUUCAAACCUUCCAGAAGGAAUGUCUGCAUUGUUUUGCUGAAAGAAGGGCUAAUCAAGUCAUGAUAUUAUUUAUCCUGAAGCACAUUUUGCCUCUUCUGACAGUGUUUGCAACAAGUCAGAGUGAAUUACAGUGGCUGCCCUUCCCAGAUCAGUCUGUACCCCACUUCUGCAGCAGCUGUGCCUGCACAGCACUUGUUUGAUACUCUGAGAUAUCUCAGGUCUUUUUUGAGCUGCUGACUUGGGUUUGUUCAGCUUCUUGUUGUCUAAGAGCUGGACCUGGGUUUCAGCAUGCCUCUACCAGUCAGAUUCCUUCAACCUUCCAACAUCUAUUCUUCCAGAGCCACACUGCCGCAAGGGAAGAGGCAACCUGUCUCCACAACCACUUCUAACAAACUGGUUUUCAGAACACAAGUUAUCCCUACCCCUCCGUGUCUGAUGCAAAGGCAGGAAAAAGCUGUCCAUCCCUAAGGCCCUCUGGAGGAAAAAUGCCAACAAAAAUAGCAGGGGAAAAAUGUGCAAACUCUAAUUGUUUUUUCAUUUGUUGAGGUUUUUCUACACAAAAAUUCAGAGUUUCAUUCCUGCUGCUGUUUGUACUAAAAGAGAAACUGAUGAAAGCCACAGUAGAUUUGCUUCAUUGGAUACCAUAAUACAUCAUUCAAAAGAAAGUUGUGUAAUGUGCUGCUCAGAGAAGGCAUGCAUUCCUGGAAGAGCGGAGGUCCUGAGAAUGUCAAAAGCUCUUGAAAACAGGUCCAGUUUCCACUUUGCCAGACGCUAUGGCAAAGACUGCUCUGAGAGCUAAUUUUGGAUAAUGAGCAAUCAGCAGGGGCAGAACAUCCUGGAGUUUGUCUCAGCCGUGUUUAUCUGGUGUGGAAGAGGAAGCUUGCAGGCAGCAUGAUGCAUGGGCGGCGAGUGCCGGCAUGAGGUCAUGGCGAAAGGGAACAGAGCCCGGCUGUGUCGCAUGAGCUGGGGAGGGAGCUGCUGUGGCGUGGGACGGCCACUUUAUCAAUUAGAACCUAGGUUAACUGAAGAACAUCUUUCACUUGCAAUACUCCCACUGCAAACUUUUAUAUUUACUCUUCCCUUGAAGACUACAGGAACCAUGUGGACUUCAGAAAUACUGCUCACAAUGAUGAAGCUGAGUCACAGAAGGGUUUCCAGAACCCGGAUCACAAUUAGUUGUGCUUUGGACUUAAGAACAGUUAAUAUACACAUCUCAGAAUAAAUAUUUCUUCAUCUUAUUGCAUAAUGCAAUAAUUCAAUACACACUUUGCAUACACAGAAAGAAAAAAAAAAAGUGAUACAGAAGCAGCUGAUAAACAAUUAUAAGGGAAGAGCUUAAAUGAGCCCAAAGACCAUCCCAUCAUUGCUUCCUUGACAUGAGUGCUUCUUCUCCCAACCUGGUGCUGCUUAUUAUUAGGAAGCAAAUAUAGAUUCCUCUGUGUCCGAGGACAACAACUGUGGGCAAGAAUAUACCAAAAUGCCAUGCCAAACCUGUGUCCCACCUGACCCAGGAGAAGGAAUAUCUUCACCAGGUGUUUGCAUCAACAGCCAUCACCUGUAGGAAACCUCCCAUCCAAAGAGAUGGAGAAGGCCUCCCCUGCACAAGUGCUGGCCCAGAAGAAAGCAAGGCUAUACAAAGCUUAUGGUGAGCAGCCUUCGCCUUGGCCUUUGCUGAGAACAAUUUUUGGUAUU